rnacentral:rRNA from 1 species
UACGAAGGGGGCUAGCGUUGCUCGGAAUCACUGGGCGUAAAGGGUGCGUAGGCGGGUCUUUAAGUCAGGGGUGAAAUCCUGGAGCUCGACUCCAGAACUGCCUUUGAUACUGAAGAUCUUGAGUUCGGGAGAGGUGAGUGGAACUGCGAGUGUAGAGGUGAAAUUCGUAGAUAUUCGCAAGAACACCAGUGGCGAAGGCGGCUCACUGGCCCGAUACUGACGCUGAGGUACGAAAGCAUGGGGAGCGAACAGG